AGAUUUCCAAAGAUGAACCAUGUCAGGCUGGUGAUGUGGACGAAUGCAGAUCCUAUUCAACCAACCCUCCAGAGAUUUCCAAAGAUGAACCAUGUCAGGCUGGUGAUGUGGACGAAUGCAGAUCUUGUUCAAGCAACUCACUAGAGAUUUCCAAAGAUGAACCAUGUCAGGCUGGUGA